rnacentral:lncRNA from 1 species
UCAAGAUCCACGUGGGCAGAAACAGUUCUGAUCAUUUCCAGCAGUCUGGCAAACAGGAAGAUUAGCCCUGAGCGAACUACUGCCAAUCCUCCUCUUUUUACUGAGGAAGACUGGCCCUGAGCUAACAUCCGUGCCCAUCUUCCUCUACUUUAUACGUGGGAUGCCUACCACAGCAUAGUGUGCCAAGUGGUGCCAUGUCCACACCCGGGACCCGAACCGACGAAACCCGGGCCAUCGAGAAGCGGGACAUGCACACUUAACUGCUGCGCCACCAGGCCAGCCCCUCCAAGUCUUUAUUUUUAUACAAAGGUUAGCAUAGCAAAAUAUUAAUUUGUGCCUUACUUAUUAUUUUUUUUGAGGAAGAUUAGCCCUGAACUAACUGCUGCCAAUCCUCCUCUUUUUGCUGAGGAAGACUGGCCCUGAGCUGACAUCCGUACCCAUCUUCCUCUACUUUGUAUGUGGGACCCCUGCCACAGCAUGGCUUGCCAAGCGGUGCCAUGUCUGCACACGGGAUCCAAACUGGCAAAACCUG